rnacentral:rRNA from 1 species
UUGCGUAGGUGGGUGAAUAAGUGAAUAGCGAAAGCCGAUGGCUCAACCAUUUGGACUAUUAUUCAAACUGUUCGUCUCGAGAGUAGCAGAGGUAACUGGAAUUUCUUGUGUAGGAGUGGAAUCCGUAGAUAUAAGAAGGAACACCAAUGGCGUAGGCAGGUUACUGGGCUAUUUCUGACACUAAGGCACGAAAGCGUGGGGAGCGAACG